GGGACUGGGUGCUGGUUGAGCACAGAGCCAGCCUUGUUCCUGCGGGGCAGAGCCUCUUCUCCCCGUCCCGGAUCUCGGAUCGCUCCUAGUUUGCUGGAACCAUCUGGAUCCCGUGGCCAGAUACAGAUCAAGAAGACUGGAGAAGGCCCCAGUGCCCCGGGACACCUUGUCCUGGCGCCCAGUGACCAACCGUCACUUAGCGGAGCAAGUUUCAGAGAAACUUCAGAAUACUUUGAUGGAUUAGUGCACAUGGGGAGAGUGAUUGGUGCAGUGUGGUCACUGCAUCAGAAUUGAUGGAGCAGAGCCGCGGUUUCAGAGGCCACGGCAGUUCUCCUACCCCCUGACAAGGAUGGCUGGGGGAGUGUGGGCCUGGCCAGCGCGGGGCCAUAUGUCAUUGUUAGCCCUUGGUUUUCCAGAAGGACCAAUGACAUGCGGGUCGGGUCUUGACUUGCUCAUAAAUUACAUUUAUCGUAAAUUAAAGUCUUAACUUACGAUAAAUUUAAUGUACGAGUCUCACUUUCUCUUCCUGCGUCAUCAAAGUGCAGCAGCUGAACCGAAGUCAGGACAACUGGCCAGGGCCCAGAAUUCAGUGCACGUUUAGUGUCUUAAGCUCUAAGUGCCCCUUGGCGCCAGCUUCAGCCGCCUUUGUGGCCAUUGCAACAAAUGGUCUUCACCUACCAGUCCACAUGCUUGAGGGGACACGCCCCUAGGUCCCUGUCGGGUUGGGGACGCUCACCCUCUGCUGAAAACGUUUUCUGGGGCAUGGUACUGGGACUGCCCACGCUGCAGCUUCUGGAAGCCACAGGUCAGACCAAGGAUGGGCCUGAGAAGUCGUCUGCUCCCACAGAAGGAAACUGGGCCCACGGAGCUUGUGACCUGGCAGCAGAACCAGAGCUGACCCCCUUUUCUGCCCCGAACGGCCCUUCCCUGGGGAACCCGAGAACAUCUCGGAACCAGGUUGGCGCCUCGGACACCAAAUCUCCCCUGGGUCUCAAAGGCCCUUUCUGGACUGGCAUCCUUGCCAGCCUCCGGUCGCUGAGAACAAUUCCUGAGGCCAGUGACCAGCCAGUGCCUGGAUGAAUGACCCUCCCUAGGGCAGAGAUCAUGGGGUCACACCUUAGAGGAGGGUGGUCUUAACCUGGGACCCUGAAGUUGGGUUUUGAAAUACAUUAACGCUGUGUUAUGGUGUGAUAUUAUAAACGUAUUUUAUUUCAUUUACAAAAACCG
rnacentral:lncRNA from 1 species